GGGGCCCAGCGUGCAGCAGGCACUGCUGCAGCUGCUCGAUCUCGCCGCCACCGCAGGCUCAGCUCCUCCUCCAGCUGCAACAUGCGACUUCUCGGCCACCGUGGUCAGCUGCAGGGAGAAGAGGGACACGAGUCAGCGGCCCUGAGGGCGGAGGGUGGGAGGAGGAGAGAGCACCCACUCCCAUCCGGUACAGCUGUGCUCCCUGCCCUUGUGGACCCCAAUGGGACUGGAGCCACAGGUCCCCUCCACCCUAGGUGGCUUGGGACAAAUUGGUGGGUAAGAGAACCUCCCUACUUGAGGUUAUGGCUUUCUGGAAGGUGAUGUUAUUGUCAAUAUUUUUGCAGUGUUGGGCAUGGAACCCAGAGCCUUGCACAUAUUGGCCAUGUGCUCUACCACUGAGCUACUUCCCAGCCCUUUUCGGUUUGUUUUUUGAGACAGGGUCUCACUUCGUAGUUCAGGCUGCCCCCUUGAACUCACUAGGUAGCCCACUAGACUCAAAGUGAUCCUCCUGCCUCAGCCUCCCGAGUGCUGGGAUUAUACGAAUACCUUGCCCUUUUUUAAAAAACUUUAAAGUUCGAGACAGUCUCAUUAAGGUGCCUAGGCUGGGCUAGAACUUGUGAUCCUCCUGCCUCAGCCUCCUGAGAGGUGGGAUUACAGGCGUGCACCCAUCACCUCCCUAGUUAAUUUUUAUUUAAAUUUUUGGCAGUGCUAGGGAUUGAACCUAUGCAUGCUAGGAAAGGCUCUACCGCUCAGCUCUCUCCCGAUCCUUAGUGUUAUUUAUAUAUAUUUUUUGGUACUGGGGAUUGAACUUGGGACCUUGCGCUUUCGAGGCAGGCGGCGGAACCACUGAGCUGAAUACCCAGCCCCCCUUAGUAUUAUUUUUAAGCACAAAGGCCGGAGUGAAUUUCUCAUGAUCUCUCUAGUGAGGCACGGGCCGGAAUGGGCUGUCCCAGAGGGCCCAGGUCAAGGAGGAGGCCAGAGGGUAGGGCUUCAGCGGGAGGCACCACUGUCUCUAAACCCACCCUGAUCCCAUCCAUGGUCCGAGAUCUGGGAACAGUAUAUUUUAACGUUUCAAAUCUUACAAAAAAAAAAAAAUCUCUUACAAACGUGAAAGAUUUUGUGAUUAUUCUUUGGCAUCAUAAACUUUUCUCUUUCCAGUACUGGGAUUAAACCCAGGGCCUUUGCACUUUCUGAGGGAAGCUGUCAAUAAACUGCCCAGGCUGGGCUCUGAACUCAGGAUCACCUUCUUUUGUGAUCUAGAUGGGUUUAGAUCAAAGCACCUCCGUCGGGAGGGCUCCGAUGCG
rnacentral:lncRNA from 1 species